rnacentral:rRNA from 1 species
GGUAACAGAAAAAGCUUGCUUUUUGCUGACGAGUGGCGAACGGGUGCGUAACGCGUAUGCAACCUACCUUCUUCUGAGGAAUAGCCCAGAGAAAUUUGGAUUAAAACCUCAUGAUAAUAUUUAUUCGCAUGUUUAAAUAUUUAAAAUUUCGAUGGAAGAAGAUGGGCAUGCGUAACAUUAGUUUGUUGGUGAGGUAAUGGCUCACCAAGACUACGAUGUUUAGGGGGUCUGAGAGGAUGAUCCCCCACACUGGUACUGAGACACGGACCAGACUCCUACGGGAGGCAGCAGUGAGGAAUAUUGGUCAAUGGACGAAAGUCUGAACCAGCCAUGCCGCGUGAAGGAUGACUGCCCUACGGGUUGUAAACUUCUUUUGUAUAGGAAGAAACCCCUCUACGUGUAGAGGGUUGACGGUACUAUUCGAAUAAGCACCGGUUAACUCCGUGCCAGCAGCCGCGGUAAUACGGAGGGUGCGAGCGUUAUCCGGAAUUAUUGGGUUUAAAGGGUGCGUAGGCGGAAAUUUAAGUCAGUGGUGAAAGCCUGCAGCUUAACUGUAGAAUUGCCAUUGAUACUGAAUUUCUUGAAUCUAAUUGAAGUAGGCGGAAUAUGACAUGUAGCGGUGAAAUGCUUAUAUAUGUCAUAGA